UAACUACACUAAAUAAAACUCCUUUUUUUCUGCCCCCUCAGAGUUCACAAUGACGAAUGAAGAACCUCUCCCAAAGAAGGUUCGCCUUAGUGAAGCAGAUUUUAAGGUUUUACCUAGAGACGAGCUCAUCCUAAGGUGGAAACAGUAUGAAGCAUAUGUGCAAGCUCUGGAGGGCAAGUACACAGACCUUAAUUCUAAUGAUGUGACGGGAUUGAGAGAAUCUGAAGAGAAGUUGAAACAGCAACAGCAAGAGUCUGCCCGAAGAGAAAAUAUUCUGGUGAUGAGGCUGGCAACUAAGGAGCAGGAGAUGCAAGAGUGUACUAAUCAGAUUCAGUACCUCAAGCAAGUCCAGCAGCCUAGUGUUGCCCAACUGCGAUCAACAAUGGUGGACCCAGCCAUCAACUUGUUUUUCCUAAAAAUGAAAGGUGAACUGGAACAGACUAAAGACAAACUGGAACAAGCCCAAAAUGAACUGAGUGCCUGGAAAUUUACGCCUGAUAGAGGCCUGACGGCGUCGGACUAUUCUGAAGAAAUGGCCAUCUUCGAAAAAAAAAUCUUUUCUAGAACAUGUAGACAUUUGCAAAAUUGUUCUAUUUGAAGAAAAUAGAGGGAGAAACAGAAGUCUUAAGUCUGUGGCACACUGUGUCUACAGACAGUUUGGAGGAGAGAGAACCUAGAGAUUAUAAAUCAUGAAUUGAACAUGUAAAAUUCCCGUAAAAUGUAGAAGUGGAAUAUGCUUCGCUCUUAACCUUGAGCCUAGUGACUUAGAGACACUGUAAGUCAGUUUUGCCAAUAAGACUGUGGACUUCCUGCUUGUUCACUGAACUGCUGGGUCAAAACUCAAUGAGGUGAAUUUUGCGUUAAAGAGUUUACUUGCUAACCAGUUUUGAAUAGCCAUGAGAGUGCUAUUUGAUAUCACAACAGUGGUAGUGUACACAUUUGACUGUUUAGCCUUUGGGCUCUCUAGCACUUGAUGGAGCCUUAAGUCAAUGUUGCUAACUAAUGAACUGUUUUCUGGAUGGUCGGUAAUACUGUGGACGCCUCAAAAUUAGGACUGUACAAAAAUGUACGUUCUAUCUAAUUGCAGGUUUAAAAUUGUUGGAAGCAAUACACAUUUGAUCACAACUAGCAUGUAUAAGAAAAACUGGUUGUGAUAAGUAUUUCACUGCAUGUUUUCAUGCAGAAAUGAGAAUUUUUCGAUCUUCUAAGAACUGAUCUCAAAUGCUCAAUACAGAAGGCACACAAUGGCAACUGUCUUCAGUGUUGGUGGGGUGUUUUUAUUCGUUUGUACACCUGGUUUUUUUUGUAUUGCACUUCUAUAUAAAAUGUGCCUUGAAAUAGUUGUAAUAUAUAGUUCAAGGAACACUACUGGUUAUCUGUUGUAUUGUGAAACUCCUGGGAUGAACGAGAAUUGAACAGGUUGUUAUUUCUGCAUUGUCUCGUUCUCUGAAAACAAAGUCAGUAUUUCAACAAAGCAAAAAUACUUAAAUGCAUGCAUUUUCCUUGGUGCAAUCAGUGAAAGGAGCCUUUGCUACUCUAUUGGUGCCUCUGUUCUGUUGUCCCAAGUUACUUGUAAGAGUAGCAAUCCGGGACAGUUGGGGGUGCAUGUCUGAGGUGUGUAAAGUGAAAUGCAGAUUUGGUAUAGCAUUUGUGUGUUUGUUUUUUUUUUUUUUCCUUAGAAAAUUGAGUUCUAUUUAGUAAUCUGAGGUUUUGAUUUUCAAAACAGUUGGGCAACAUUUUAUGACUCAGUCUGCUCCUAGAAAAUUCAGUUUUAAAUUAAAAAAAAAAAAGGCAUCCAGCUGUCACAGAAGGUGAUGUAUUCUAACUGUUUUGAUGUCUUUUAUUAAGAUGGCAUUACGUAUUUUUAACUUGGAAGUACCUUAAGUCGGAAGUAUUUUAACUGUUUGUGCUUCAGAUGAUUAAUAUGGGAUUGAAGAGUAGUGUAUUUAUGCAGGUUUAUUUUUUUUGCAUGAGUAAUGACUUAACAGCAAAAGAAAAGCCUACAGAAAAACUUUACCUUUUUAAAAGUGAUACAUCUGGAAUGAUUUUGUUAUAGCAGUAUCUAAGAUUUUAAUGAUCUAGCAUCAAAACAGAGGUAAGACUUGCAUUAAAAAAUUGUUAACGUGUUACCAAGCCAUUUGUAAAGCUCACUAUAAUGUGCGGAUAGAGGCAUGCCGUGCAGAUUGCUUGUUUAACUUGGAGUUCAGAAAAUUAUUUAAUAUAUUUAGAUACAGGCUGGUUGUUUCCUUAAGUCCUCAGGCUCUAAAUGUGUGUGUACAGCUGAGGAGAGACCAAGUAACUUGCCACUUUCUUUCAAGCAAAAGUAUCAAAAGAAAAUUUUGUUAUUUCUGUAGCUACAACAUACCCUAAUAUGCAUCAUAUAAUUUUAAGUCAGUGGUGUGAAUGUGCAUAAUUCAUAUAUGCAGUAGCUGGAAUACAGAAAAUUACAGUUAUUUCCUGGUAAAUAAUUGAGGCUGUCUUCAUUAACUGGGUUAAGAUCUUACUGAUUUUUAUUUCUGGAAGGGUAAAGAAAUGAAGACUCAUAUUAAAGUAUUUAUAGGAUUUUUCAUUCUCUUUGCACCCCAUCCCCCCGCUUUAAUUGCGUUAAUUGUCCAUCCUUGUAUGCAACUACUCUUACUUCAUGGCAUCUGACCUAGUUUUUGAAAGAGAUGAUGCUCCUAUUUGGAUCCCUAACUUGUGUUCUUAGGGUAACAUAUUAACUGCAACCCUAAGCGAUGUUAGUUCUGGGCCUUAACCAUAGAUAAGGGUGUACAGCAUAGUCAUUGUUGAUGUCUGGAGGGAGAAAUAAAAGGGCAUGUAAUUAAAGGAAUGGCUAUGCUAAGCCAUUUCAACCAUCAUUAAUCAUAGAGUAUACACUUGGAUUAAAAAUAGUAGAAAUAUCAUUUACAGUAAGUCUAGUACAACAAAUGCUAGUCUUCUGAAAUUUAACCACUUAUAUUCUUACAGGUUUUGUUGCAUGUAUGUUCAAGAGGAUUUGUGAAAACAAAGCCAAACUUAGUUUUACAGCUCAUAGGAGUUAUUUUAAGAGUUACUGGAUUUUAUAUUCUUGCAUGUGUUGUCUUUUUUGUAAAUUGCAAGGGGAGGUUACUUGGUGCCGUACUAGUUCAGAACAUCUGGAAAAAUCUUGAUGGGAAGAAAUAGCAUUAUAGGUAACUAUGCAAAUUUCUAUACAGGUAAUAAAUAUUUUACAUUUUGGCAGGAGUUAAUGUGAAGAAAUUAAUGGGAUUCUAAAAUGGUCCCAAUUCCAAGGUAACUGGUACUUGCUAAUACUACAGUUGACAUUGUUUUGUGAAGAGAAAAGCAUUAAAUGACUUAAGCACUGUGAACUUCUUCAACUUGUAGUGAUGAUGAAUACAGUAACAGGAAUUUGCAAAUGGCUAAAAAUCAUUGCAUGUCUGCCUAAUAACUUUUGGGAUAUGUCACAUUGGUUAUCUCCAAAGUGGUCCUGCUUUACACAGAAUGAACAUCUCUAAGGAAACUUGCAUCUUAAGUGUGCGACUUGGACUGUAUUAGGUCAGCACAAUUUAAACUUCAAGGACCUGGCAUUGGACAUCACAUCAAGAAAGAAAACAGGUUGCUGCCUUUAGCAGUUUCAGGCUUCCAGGACUUUACACAGCCAGAUUCCUUCUGGAGCAGCCCAUCUGAAAGAUUUGGGAGAGUCAGUCGGAAAAUGUUAAAUGGGGCAGAGUUGGCAGAACUUAAAAGUUGUCUAAGGCUUGAAUGCUUAAAAGGUAGCUGAUAAGGAAAUUAUUAUUUUAAAUUCUUUUGGCUGGGUAUUUUGGUUGCAGGAGAGAACCGUGGCUGUGAAUUGUAGCUGAAAUUUCCUGUUCUACCUCUUUAAUCCUCAAAAUUUCUUUCAAUCUUUGUCACUUGUUUAAAAGCAAACAAACAAAAAAUUAAAUGACCUUCUUGGUCUUGAAAAGUAAUGCAAGUCCUGCCAUUGAAUUCACAAUAAACCUGUUCAAGUUCGGGUGGUUCUUUUUUUUUUUUUUUUUUUUUUUUUUUUGGCAGAGCUUACACUUCUGUAGAAAAGAGGACAGCUUCAGUAUGUUGCUGAGCCUAUUAAAAGGAGAACUGUUUGUGGUUGCUAUCCUGACUUUGGCAGACCAAGAAUCUUAAAGAACUUUAAUUUUUCUCUUUUAUGGAGUCAGCUGUAUUGCCUAUAUAUUAAUUUGCAUACUACUUCCUAUAAUGCUUUACAAUGCCAUUUUUAUCGUGAAGAUUAAAGAUGUGUGAUGUUACCCAUUUAGCAAAGAAAAUCCUGUCAGUUCAAAAUUUCUUUUUUCCUGCCUGUUUCCCAUUUCUUUCAGAAACUGGACAUCCUAAUGUUCAUUACUCAUGAUCCAAAUUCUGUCAUUCUAAAGGAAGUAGAUUCCUUAAUUUCCUGCCAAUUUUUAACUAUGUUUUACUUCAUCCUCACCAUGCAAGAUGCUGACCAUAGAAAUCAUGAAACAGACUGUGUACAUUACUGUCAAAUAUAUAAAUUGAGUUGAAAAACAGACAUCUAACUUUUUAAAGAAGAGUACCUGGACAGCAUUCAAAAGAAUGUCUAAGCCUCUUAAAGAAAAAUGGAUGUCACUAUGAAAAAUUAACAUGGAAUUUUAUAUUUCCCCCCAAGCAACUUUCUUCUCUUCACCCAAAUUUAAUUAUUAAAUUUUGCUAGUACAAUAAAUGAAGAAGGUUUUUGUUUACAAUUCAGUUUACAUGUAUAAUUUUUAUGCAGUACUUGAUCUUUUGAAUUACAAGGCACAUCUUUAAUCAAAUAUUUAACUCCAUUGAGAAUUAGCACAUGCAAGAUUGUGCAUACUGAUAAUCCAGAUGUUGAUAUCAAAAAAGAACAAUAUGCUUAUUCGUAUUUGCAGUAAUAAAACUUGCCUUCCACUUUAUGGGACAGCGACAGAAGAUCAACUGGCAUUGGAACAGCAUGUGGUAACUAUAGGGAGACUUUCUGCUAUGACAAUUAUGUUGAGGCAUAAUGUUCCUUGAAUUGUGACAUGCAGAAAUUGCAUCUCCUUUUUGUUUGUAAUUGUGAUUGAGGAAGAUAACUGAAGGUUUUAUAUUCAUUUUGUGAUAGAUGGCUCUUUCCUUUGCAGCCAAACAGGCAAAAAGUUAAUGGCGAAGUGUCGAAUGCUUAUCCAGGAGAAUCAAGAGCUUGGAAGGCAGCUGUCCCAAGGACGUAUUGCACAGCUUGAGGCAGAGUUGGCUUUACAGAAGAAAUAUAGUGAGGAACUUAAAAGCAGUCAGGAUGAAUUGAAUGACUUCAUCAUCCAGCUUGAUGAGGAGGUAGAGGGUAUGCAGAGUACCAUUCUAGUUCUUCAGCAGCAGUUGAAGGAGACUCGCCAGCAGUUGGCGCAGUACCAGCAGCAGCAGUCCCAGGCCUCCAACCCAGGUACCAGCAGGACUCCAUCUUCUGAGCCCACAGACCAGGGAGAGGCUGUGGGUAAAGACUGCAGCCGUCUGGCAAACGGACCAAGCAAUGGUAGCUCCUCCCACCAGCGGACGUCUGGGCCUGGAUUUUAUAGGGAGGGUAGCGGCACAGAAGAUGACUUCCCAGCUUCUCCAGGGAAUGGUAAUAAGCUGUCCAACCACUCUGAAGAUAGAACUGGUAGAGGAAGUGGUAGCUACAUAAACCAGCUCAGUACUGGGUAUGAAAGUGUAGACUCUCCCACUGGCAGUGAAAACUCUCUCACUCACCACUCAAAUGACACAGACUCCAAUCAUGAUCCUCAAGAGGAGAAAACAGUGAGCAUGAAAGGUAACAGAACUGUGGGUUCUCGUCAUGUCCAGAAUGGUUUGGACUCCAGUGUAAAUGUGCAGGGUUCAGUUUUGUAACAUUUUUCUGCAACAUUUUUAUACAGUGUCAUUUAAAUUGGGAGAGGAUACUGUCCAGAAGCCGUUUAAAUUAGUGCAUACUUGUCACAAUUUUGCCUUUUUGUGGGUUUCUUUUUGCUUCAAUACCUCUGCCACUUUGGAAAUUUUAACAGUUAAUUACGUUGAAUGUUGCUAAAAGGACGUUUGUGUAGCUCAAGUUAUUUUUAUAUGAGUUAAUGUGAAGUUGAAAUGGAAAUUAUUUCCAUAAAGUAUAACAUAAAUGAUGUCUGUACAAAUCUGUGUAUAUCUAGAACCUGUGCUGUGUAAGGGCAUUCUUACUCAUACUGUUAUACUUACACCACCUUCAAGAUUUGUCAUAAUAGCUGUGGGUUUAUGACUGCCAAGUUUGCCCAGUACAGUAGUUUUAUCACUAAAAGAUGGACUUACUGAAGGAGUCCUGUAGUAGUUUCAGUGUUAAUUACAGUUUUUCCCACCAUACAUCUGUGCAUUUUCUCCUUAGGUGACCGAAUGUUUAUGAAUUGUGUGCAUAGUUACUCAGUUUUUAAGAACUGUUGUAUCCUGUUUAUGCAUAUUGCUCUGUGACUCCAAUAUUAUCUUACCUGUACUGACCAAACCUAAAUAAAAACUUUUAAUAAUGUAA